rnacentral:rRNA from 1 species
UACGGGGGGGGGUAAGCGUUGUUCGGAAUUACUGGGCGUAAAGGGCUCGUAGGCGGCCAACUAAGUCAGACGUGAAAUCCCUCAGCUUAACUGGGGAACUGCGUCUGAUACUGGAUGGCUUGGAUUCGGGAGAGGAAUGCGGAAUUCCAGGUGUAGCGGUGAAAUGCGUAGAUAUCUGGAGGAACACCGGUGGCGAAGGCGGGACUCUGGGCCGAUACCUGACGCUGAGGAGCGAAAGCGUGGGGAGCAAACAGG